rnacentral:rRNA from 1 species
GAUGAACGCUAGCUACAGGCUUAACACAUGCAAGUCGAGGGGAAACGAUAUUGGAAGCUUGCUUCCGAUAGGCGUCGACCGGCGCACGGGUGAGUAACGCGUAUCCAACCUGCCCAUCACUUGGGGAUAACCUUGCGAAAGUAAGACUAAUACCCAAUGACGUCUCUAGAAGACAUCUGAAAGAGAUUAAAGAUUUAUCGGUGAUGGAUGGGGAUGCGUCUGAUUAGCUUGUUGGCGGGGUAACGGCCCACCAAGGCGACGAUCAGUAGGGGUUCUGAGAGGAAGGUCCCCCACAUUGGAACUGAGACACGGUCCAAACUCCUACGGGAGGCAGCAGUGAGGAAUAUUGGUCAAUGGACGAGAGUCUGAACCAGCCAAGUAGCGUGCAGGAAGACGGCCCUAUGGGUUGUAAACUGCUUUUAUAAGGGAAUAAAGUGAGUCUCGUGAGACUUUUUGCAUGUACCUUAUGAAUAAGGACCGGCUAAUUCCGUGCCAG